AUUGCCUGGGGAUCUUGUUAAAAAUGUAUUCUGAUUCAGUAAGUCUGGGUUGGGCCCAAGAUUCUGCAUUUUUAACAAGUUCCCAGGUGAUGCCAA
rnacentral:pre_miRNA from 1 species